rnacentral:rRNA from 1 species
AUACGAAGGGUGCAAGCGUUGUUCGGAAUCACUGGGCGUAAAGAAUGCGUAGGCGGCUCAAUAAGUCGGAAGUGAAAUCCCAGGGCUUAACCCUGGAACUGCUUUCGAAACUAUUUUUGCUAGAGUCCCGGAGGGGUUAGCGGAAUUCCGAGUGUAGAGGUGAAAUUCGCAGAUAUUCGGAGGAACACCAGUGGCGAAGGCGGCUAACUGGACGGGAACUGACGCUGAGGCAUGAAAGUGUGGGGAUC